GGUAAGCUGCGAUCUGGAGCUGAGGCGGGGACUACGCCACUAGCGGGGCGGCUCGGGCCACAGCGGCCGGCGGACCGGCCAUGUGCUAAAGUUUCUGGGGCUCGGCUGCCCGGCGGCCACCCUCCGAGAUCUUCCCGCCGAGCCCAGGCGUGGGGCAUGAGGAGCCCCUGGGUGUCGCCUGCAGACAACCCAGCCUCGCGCACACCUCGCCAGUCGCUGACAGGGACAUGAACAGCAUGAUUGGGUUCCGGUGUCCGGCGGCCAGCCUCAGCCGGAGGCGGCCAGUGGGUCUGCGCUGUUUGGGAGAAUGAGGCAGGAACCCACGGCAACCUCUCUCUCCUCCUUCUCCUCGCCUUCCUCUGGCUCCCGCUCCCCGGACCCGGGCCGGGCUGUGGCUCUGCUGCGUGCCCUGCGCGCCCCCCACCUGCCUCCGGAUGCUCUUCUCGGUUAGCCUGGAGAGGAAGAUAAAGACAUUUGCAACCAAGAUGGUAAUCACGAGUGGAAACGAUGAAGACCGGGGAGGCCAAGAGAAAGAGAGCAAAGAGGAGAGCGUGUUGGCCAUGCUGGGCAUCAUCGGGACCAUCCUGAACCUGAUCGUUAUCAUCUUUGUAUACAUAUAUACCACUCUAUGAAAGGCCCCAUUCAGACCUCGGUGGCCUCAGGAUGGCCACGAGACAAGGGUCCUGUGCAUCCGUCUAUCAGCGACCACACACUGCGGGGGGACCAGCAGGUUUGAAGACCACACAAUGCUCCAUCAAUGCACCUUCGAACUUUCUGACGGGUCACCUGAUGGACCCGUCCUUCUGUGAGGAGCAGACACUCUGAAGCACAAUGAAUCCAGUGGGACUCCUUCAGGCCACAAGGAACUCCCACAGGGGACCCAGCGGGAUGCUGGAAAGGCCAGCCUUCUGCACCGGCGGUGAGCACGAGGGUGAGGAAGUGCUUCACCCUGGAGUGCUGACCACAUCUCACACUGGAAAGAGGAUGCGUGGGGUAGUCGCAGCUCCGCUGACCUCCUCCCAGGACUGGCAAGAUAAAUAAGCUCUAGCAUGAACCAAAUAUUUGGAGAAGCACUUCUGGACCCAUAGCUCUUCUUGGUUUUAAUCGCUUUUGCUCCAUCAGCUGCAAGACGUCUUUGUCUGUAGUCAUCCGGUUGCCUCAGCUCAUCUCAAGCCUUGUCGUACCUCAGGUUCUUCUUCCUUCCCAUCCCUGCCCCUCCCUUCUCUCCUCUCUCUUUCCCCUGUCUCUCCCUUCCAUCUCUUAAUUCCCCUAUCCUUCCCCAUCUCCCCACCCCCCAUCUCCUCUCUCCCCUCCUCCUCACCUCUUGUCUAGAGGACAUUUUCCCAUAAUACCAGCUGUGGUCUUGGCUGGUGUGUGCUUCAAGAUUGUCGAGCGGCUUUUCAUUGUUCUGUCAGAGAUAUAAACCGAUUGUGGGCAUGCAGACCUUAGAUGCACCCUGUCUUUAUUGAGAAUUAUGCAUGAACAAGGGCUGAGUGGCAGGCCAGCAUCUCCAGUUUUUAAAGGGACUACCAAGGAGGAAGAUGAGCAGCCCUGCCUGCAGGCCACCCUUGGGACAGAGCAGUCACCAGCUCAAGUGCAGUAUUGCUUAUUUGCUCCUGUAACCAUCCAAUUAUCAGAUUCUGAUUUAUUUAUUUAUUUAUUUAUUUAUUUAUUUAUUUAUUUAUUUAUUUAUUUAUUUUUGUGACCAUGAGAGAUGGAAACGGGGCGAGCUCGAUGUUCAGUGCACCAGCCGUCAUCCCUUCCUUGGUGAGCUGCCUGGGGAGGUGGAGGGUGGGAUCUCUUCAGAAGUCAGUGGGAUAUGAGGGAAGUGAGACCUCCCCGCUGUGAGAAUGCACACACAGUUCCUGCUGUAAAAACACUGCUGGGACGAGUGACCCUUCAAGGGCAUUGGGAGGGGACUUAAUGGUCUCUGUUAAGGAGCCCUGCACAUUUUAAAGCUGUUUUUCCACUCACACAAAGCUCUUUUUUUCUCUGAGGGGAUGGUUGAAUAAAUACAAAUUUGCCCUGCUCUCUGGCUCCGUAACACAGCCCCAACCUGGAUGCAGUGUACAGCUUUAAGGAGAGGGUCCGCAUUCAUUCUGCCAAGGGCAGAAGUGGCAGCAGCCCCCCCUUUGGAUUCAGAUGACACUAAGGGGGGGCAUGUCUCAGCUUGCCCCCUUCCUUAAAUGGCACCAUGAAGGAGUCAUUUCUUGGGCUUCACUAAGGGACCAGUCUCUUUUAUAAAUCAAAUACCCAUGAGCACCUGGCUCUGCCCAGAGAUGUCUCCUCUUCCCCACCAGAAGGACAGAUACCGUGUACACAAGUAACCAGGCUUUCAUAGUUGCUGGUGAGAGGGAGAGUCUUUCUCUCUCACCUGUGUGGUAGAAGGAAGAAGAAAGGACAGCUCGGACCAGGAAUCUUCCCUGAGGUUUCCUGGCACCCAGUGGAGUCAGAUUCUAGCCUCACCUGGCCAGUUCCUUAUCCCAGCGAGGACUUGGAUGCUGUUGUGGGAUGCUGAUGAGGAUAGUGACUGUGGCUGGAAAGCCUGUCGCUUUGCUGAGGAUCAACCCAGCACACACACACACACACACACACACACACACACACCACACCACACCACACCACAACAGGAAACAACCUUAGAACUCCUUGGACACUGGCAGAAUUUGACACAAAUAAAAGACAGUAGAGAGGCUGGUUAGGAAGGUGGGAGGCACCCCGGGGCGAGCACUACCUACCAGGCUGUGUGAUUCUUGACAAACUGUAAUUCUGCACAGUGGACUAAACAAACAAUAAAGGUGCAGUGGGGGAAACUAUUGGUGUCGCCAACUUCCUCGUGAGCCCGUGUGUAAUUGUUUGAUUUAAUAAAACUUGACCGUGGCUG
ensembl:lincRNA